UACAGAGGUCUCAAGCGUUGUUCGGAUUCAUUGGGCGUAAAGGGUGCGUAGGUGGCGCGCUAAGUCAGGUGUGAAAUUUCGGAGCUUAACUCCGAAACUGCAUUUGAUACUGGCGUGCUUGAGGACUGGAGAGGAGACUGGAAUUCACGGUGUAGCAGUGAAAUGCGUAGAUAUCAGGAGGAAUACCGAUGGCGAAGGCAGGUCUCUGGGCUGACACUGACGCUCAUGCACGAAAGCGUGGGGAGCAAACAGG
rnacentral:rRNA from 1 species